UACGGAGGGGGCUAGCGUUGUUCGGAAUUACUGGGCGUAAAGCGCGCGUAGGCGGACCUGCAAGUCGGGGGUGAAAGCCCGAGGCUCAACCUCGGAACUGCCUUCGAUACUGCGGGUCUCGAGUCCGGGAGAGGUGAGUGGAAUUCCUAGUGUAGAGGUGAAAUUCGUAGAUAUCGGGAGGAACACCAGUGGCGAAGGCGGCGACCUGGGCAGAUACUGACGCUGAGGUGCGAAAGCGUGGGGAGCAAACAGG
rnacentral:rRNA from 1 species